rnacentral:rRNA from 1 species
GACGAACGCUGGCGGCGUGCUUAACACAUGCAAGUCGAACGGGCCUGUCUUCUUUUUUGGGGGUGGGUUGAGUGGCGAACGGGUGAGUAUCACGUGAGUAACCUGCCCUUCGGUCCUGGAUAACCGCUUGAAAGGGCGGCUAAUACGGGGUGGUCCGGUUGGUCCGCAUGGGCUGGUCGGGAUAGAUUCACUGUUUUUGGUGUUUCGGCGGGGGAUGGGCUCGCGGCCUAUCAGCUUGUUGGUGGGGCGAUGGCCUACCAAGGCGGUGACGGGUAGCCGGCCUGAGAGGGUGGGCGGCCACACUGGGACUGAGAUACGGCCCAGACUCCUGCGGGAGGCAGCAGUGGGGGGUAUUGCACAAUGGGCGGAAGCCUGAUGCAGCGACGUCGCGUGAGGGAUGGAGGCCUUCGGGUUGUGAACCUCUGUUUCCGGUGGUGAAGGCCCUGUCCGUGUGGUGGGGUUGACGGUAGCCGGGGAUGAAGCGCCGGCUAACUACGUG